AUUGAACGCUGGCGGCAGGCCUAACACAUGCAAGUCGAACGGUAACAGGAAGAAGCUUGCUUCUUUGCUGACGAGUGGCGGACGGGUGAGUAAUGUCUGGGAACUGCCUGAUGGAGGGGGAUAACUACUGGAAACGGUAGCUAAUACCGCAUAACGUCGCAAGACCAAAGAGGGGGACCUUCGGGCCUCUUGCCAUCGGAUGUGCCCAGAUGGGAUUAGCUAGUAGGUGGGGUAACGGCUCACCUAGGCGACGAUCCCUAGCUGGUCUGAGAGGAUGACCAGCCACACUGGAACUGAGACACGGUCCAGACUCCUACGGGAGGCAGCAGUGGGGAAUAUUGCACAAUGGGCGCAAGCCUGAUGCAGCCAUGCCGCGUGUAUGAAGAAGGCCUUCGGGUUGUAAAGUACUUUCAGCGGGGAGGAAGGGAGUAAAGUUAAUACCUUUGCUCAUUGACGUUACCCGCAGAAGAAGCACCGGCUAACUCCGUG
rnacentral:rRNA from 1 species